UACCCGCAGCACAAGUGGUGGUCAUUAUUAUUGGGCCUAAAGCGUCCGUAGCUGGCGUGUUAGAUGCCUGGGUAAAUCGAUGCGCUCAACGCAUCGAAUUCCGGGUAGACCGGCACGCUCGAGACCGGGAGAGGCGUAGGGUACUCGGGGGGUAGGGGUAAAAUCCUGUAAUCCUCCGGGGACGACCAGUGGCGAAGGCGCUACGCUAGAACGGCUCUGACAGUGAGGGACGCAGCCCUGGGGCGCAAACCGG
rnacentral:rRNA from 1 species